rnacentral:rRNA from 1 species
GACGAACGCUGGCGGCGUGCUUAACACAUGCAAGUCGAACGGAAAGGCCCUGCUUGCAGGGUGCUCGAGUGGCGAACGGGUGAGUAACACGUGGGUGAUCUGCCCCUUACUUUGGGAUAAGCCUGGGAAACUGGGUCUAAUACUGGAUAGGACCAUGCUGUCGGUGGUGUGGUGGAAAGAUUAGUUUCGGUAAGGGAUGAGCUCGCGGCCUAUCAGCUUGUUGGUGGGGUAAUGGCCUACCAAGGCGUCGACGGGUAGCCGGCCUGAGAGGGUGGACGGCGACAUUGGGACUGAGAUACGGCGCAGACGCCUACGGGGGGCAGCAGUGGGGAAUAUUGCACAAUGGGCGCAAGCCGGAUGAAGCGACGCCGCGUGGGGGAUGACGGCCGUCGGGUGGUAAACUCCUUUCAGCCAUGACGAAGCCCUUGUGGUGACGGUAGUGGUAGAAGAAGCACCGGCUAACUACGUG